UCUGCCCACUGAUUUUAUAAUUAAAGGGCUGCAGUAUAUUGACUGUACAAAGGUAGCAUAAUCAUUAGUCAUUUAAUUGAUGACUUGUAUGAAGGAUUGGAUGAAAUAUAAACUGUCUCUUAAUUAUUGAAUAGAAUUUAAUUUUUUAAUUAAAAAGUUAAAAUAUAUUAAAAAGACGAGAAGACCCUAUAGAUUUUUAUAAAAAAUUUAGUUAAUAUUAUUUAUGAAAAAUUAAAAUUAAAAUUAAAUUUAUUUAUUGUAUUGGGGUGAUAGAAAAAUAUAAAAAACUUUUUAUAUAUUAAAACAUUUAUAAGUGGUUAAAUGAUCCAAUAUUAUUGAUUAUAAGAAAAAAUUACCUUAGGGAUAACAGCGUAAUUUUUUUUUUUAGUUCGUAUAAGAAAAAGAGUUUGCGACCUCGAUGUUGGAUUAAGAUAAAAUUUAAAUGCAGAAG
rnacentral:rRNA from 1 species